rnacentral:rRNA from 1 species
CCUGGCUCACGAUGAACGCUAGCGACAGGCUUAACACAUGCAAGUCGAGGGGCAGCACAGGUAGCAAUACCGGGUGGCGACCGGCGCACGGGUGAGUAACGCGUAUGCAACUUACCUAUCAGAGGGGGAUAACCCGGCGAAAGUCGGACUAAUACCGCAUGAAGCAGGGGUCCCGCAUGGGGAUAUUUGCUAAAGAUUCAUCGCUGAUAGAUAGGCAUGCGUUCCAUUAGGCAGUUGGCGGGGUAACGGCCCACCAAACCGACGAUGGAUAGGGGUUCUGAGAGGAAGGUCCCCCACAUUGGUACUGAGACACGGACCAAACUCCUACGGGAGGCAGCAGUGAGGAAUAUUGGUCAAUGGGCGUAAGCCUGAACCAGCCAAGUCGCGUGAGGGAUGAAGGUUCUAUGGAUCGUAAACCUCUUUUAUAAGGGAAUAAAGUGCGGGACGUGUCCCGUUUUGUAUGUACCUUAUGAAUAAAGAUCGGCUAACUCCGUGCCAGCAGCCGCGGUAAUACGGAGGAUCCGAGCGUUAUCCGGAUUUAUGGGUUUAAAGGGUGCGUAGGCGGCCUUUAAGUCAGCGGUGAAAGUCUGUGGCUCAACCAUAGAAUUGCCGUUGAAACUGGGGGGCUUGAGUAUGUUUGAGGCAGCGGAAAUGCGUGGGGUAGCGGUGAAAUGCUUAGAUAUCACGCAGAACCCCGAUUGCGAAGGCAGCCUGCCAAGCCAUGACUGACGCUGAUGCACGAAAGCGUGGGGAUCAAACAGGAUUAGAUACCCUGGUAGUCCACGCAGUAAACGAUGAUCACUAGCUGUUUGCGAUACAGUGUAAGCGGCACAGCGAAAGCGUUAAGUGAUCCACCUGGGGAGUACGCCGGCAACGGUGAAACUCAAAGGAAUUGACGGGGGCCCGCACAAGCGGAGGAACAUGUGGUUUAAUUCGAUGAUACGCGAGGAACCUUACCCGGGUUUGAACGCAUUCGGACCGAGGUGGAAACACCUUUUCUAGCAAUAGCCGUUUGCGAGGUGCUGCAUGGUUGUCGUCAGCUCGUGCCGUGAGGUGUCGGCUUAAGUGCCAUAACGAGCGCAACCCUUGCCACUAGUUACUAACAGGUGAUGCUGAGGACUCUGGUGGGACUGCCAGCGUAAGCUGCGAGGAAGGCGGGGAUGACGUCAAAUCAGCACGGCCCUUACAUCCGGGGCGACACACGUGUUACAAUGGCGUGGACAAAGGGAAGCCACCUGGCGACAGGGAGCGAAUCCCCAAACCACGUCUCAGUUCGGAUCGGAGUCUGCAACCCGACUCCGUGAAGCUGGAUUCGCUAGUAAUCGCGCAUCAGCCAUGGCGCGGUGAAUACGUUCCCGGGCCUUGCACACACCGC